AACGAUAUCCAUUUCCAUUCUCUACCACAUCACACACCUCUCUCUCUCUCUCUCUCUCUCUCUCUCUCUCUCCCUCCGCCGCUCUGCCUUCUUUCUUUUCCUCCGCUUUUGCUGAAGAAUGCAAACCCAAGCACGAACGCGAGCGGCUCUGAGAUUCCAAGCCUUCCCCUCCUUCGCUAACCGGGCUCCCCUUCCCUUCGUAAUCUCCUUUCCCCCUACCCGACGGCGCGUUCGAGUCCGAUGUAGUGCCGCCUCCGAGGGUGGUUCCAUCGGCGGGAAUCCUCAGCAGCAGGUGCAGCAGAGGAAGGCGUACCCUUUCGAUGCGAUAGAGCCGCGAUGGCAGCGCUACUGGGACGAGAACCGAACGUUUCGGACGCCUGAUGAGGUUGACACUUCGAAGCCCAAAUGCUACAUCCUCGACAUGUUCCCUUACCCUAGUGGAGCUGGAUUACAUGUUGGUCAUCCCCUUGGAUAUACUGCCACCGACAUACUUUCAAGAUAUAAACGAAUGAAGGGCUUCAAUGUUUUGCAUCCAAUGGGCUGGGAUGCGUUCGGUCUUCCUGCUGAACAAUAUGCCAUUGAGACUGGGACACAUCCGAAGGUUACAACCAAACAAAAUAUUGAACGAUUUCGGUCUCAGCUGAAGUCAUUAGGUUUUUCAUAUGAUUGGGAUCGUGAGUUCUCCACCACUGAACCUGAGUAUUAUAAAUGGACGCAAUGGAUUUUUCUUCAGCUGUUCAAGAAAGGACUCGCAUACCAGGCUGAAAUACCUGUUAAUUGGUGUCCUGCACUUGGCACUGUCUUGGCAAAUGAAGAAGUGGUCAAUGGUGUUAGUGAACGAGGGGGUCAUCCUGUUGUAAGAAAGCCAAUGCGACAAUGGAUUCUCAAGAUAACUGCUUAUGCUGAUCGUCUUCUUGAAGAUUUGGAUGAUCUUGAUUGGCCUGAGAGCAUCAAAGAAAUGCAGAGAAAUUGGAUUGGCCGUUCAGAAGGUGCUGAACUAGAAUUUGGUGUAGUUGAUUCCCAGGGAUAUGAGCAAGGCCUAAAACUGUCUGUGUAUACAACUAGACCAGACACUAUAUUUGGCGCAACAUUUAUUGUUGUGGCACCUGAGCAUUCAUUGUUGUCAUCAUUAACAACUGAGGCCCAGCAUGAGAAAGUAGAGCACUACAGGGUGCUUGCUUCAAAAAAAAGUGAUCUUGAGAGAACUGAUCUUCAAAAGGCAAAGACAGGAGUUUUUAGUGGUUCAUAUGCUAUGAAUCCAGCUACUAGGGAAACCAUUCCAAUAUGGAUAGCAGACUAUGUCUUAGGAAGCUAUGGUACUGGAGCAAUCAUGGCUGUGCCUGCACAUGAUUCUCGUGACUAUGAGUUUGCCUUAAAAUAUGAUAUUCCAAUAAUGAGGGUUGUAAGUCGUACUGAUAGAAGUGAUGAUGACAGUGAACCAUAUGUAGAUGAUGGUAUCAUGAUCAACUCAUCAAAUUCGUUAUCUGGUUUGAAUAUUAAUGGCUUGUCAUGCAAAGAUGCUGCUUCAAAAGUAAUAGAUUGGCUUGAGAGUACUGGUCAUGGAAUAAAAAAGGUCAACUACAAGCUGAGGGAUUGGCUUUUUGCUAGGCAACGCUAUUGGGGAGAACCUUUUCCUGUGGUUUAUCUGGAUGAUAGCGGUGAAGUAGUUCCUUUACAGGAAAAUGAGCUUCCGCUAGUACUUCCAGACUUGGAUGACUUUAACCCUACUGGAACAGGGGAGCCUCCAUUAGCAAAAGCAACAUCAUGGGUUAAGACAGUGGAUCCUGUAUCUGGAAGACAUGCAAGACGAGAAACAAAUACAAUGCCGCAAUGGGCUGGUUCCUGCUGGUAUUAUUUGAGAUUUAUGGACCCAAAAAAUCCAACUGCAUUGGUUGGCAAAGACAAAGAAAGGUACUGGAGCCCUGUUGACAUAUAUGUUGGUGGUGCUGAGCAUUCUGUCCUACACUUGCUUUAUGCUAGGUUUUGGCACAAGGUCCUGUAUGAUAUAGGUGUGGUUUCAACCAAGGAACCUUUUCAGUGCCUUAUAAAUCAAGGGCUAAUACUUGGUGAAAUAGAGUAUACAGCAUUCAGAGACCAAGAGGGGAGAUUAGUUUCUGCUGAUUCUGUUGGCGUCACCGAUAACCAUUUUCAAGAGAGAAUACCUGCAGAGAAGGUGAUGAAGGUUGGUGACUUUUAUGUUAUAAAAGAUAAUCCCAGUAUUCGAUUAGUUGCUCGAGCCUACAAAAUGAGUAAAAGCAGAGGAAAUGUUAUCAAUCCAGAUGAUGUUGUUUCUGAGUAUGGUGCAGAUUCUCUCAGGUUGUAUGAAAUGUUCAUGGGACCAUUAAGGGAUUCAAAGACAUGGAGUACUGGUGGAAUUGAAGGAGUACAUAGGUUUCUAGCUAGGACUUGGAGAUUGAUUGUAGGACCCCCUUUACCUGAUGGAUCAUACAACUGCGGAACAAUUGCCACUGAUGAUGAACCUACCUUGGAUCAGUUGCGGAGUCUUCACAGAUGUAUUGCAAAAGUAUCAGAAGAAAUUCAAGAAACAAGAUUCAACACAGGAAUUUCUGCAAUGAUGGAGUUCGUAAAUGCUGCUUAUAAGUGGGAUAAACACCCGAAAUCAAUUUUGGAGCCGUUUGUUCUCUUGCUUUCACCUUUUGCACCUCACAUGGCAGAGGAACUCUGGUCUCGAAUGGGACACCAAGAAUCACUUGCAUAUGAACAAUUUCCAGAGGCUGAAAGUGAGUUUUUGAAAGAUUCAAGCAUUGUGCUGCCAGUUCAAAUCAAUGGGAAGACCAGGGGCACCAUCCUGGUCGAUGAAGCAUGCUCUGAGGAUGAUGCAUUCAGAUUAGCAUCAGAAGAUGAAAAACUUUCCAAGUAUAUUUCGCCGUGAGGACCUGAAGCUCUCUGUUAAAUAUACAAGAUGUAACAAAGUGAUGGGCAAGCGCAUCAGUGGCAUGUCAGGACGAAGGAUAUUUUUGAGAAAUUCUCUUGUUGAGAAAAUGUAGCAUGGGCAUUGUGGUUUCGUGGUGCAAUGAUGUCGGGAUCCGGUGAUGAUGUCAGGUUCAGUCCCCUGAUAAAUAUUUUACAAUCCAGUGAGCAUAUGUUCCAUUUUGCAUGUUAUGUUUUAUGAUAGAUUGAGGUUCGAAUGGGGAAGCUAACGCGAGGAGUGAUGAAAUGACACGACGGCCCAGCUAUCUGGAUUUUCUCCUGUGAGACAAGCCUUAAAUGUUGUGCUCAAGUUGGAACAAUGGAAGCUAUGGAAACCCCAAGGGAAACCAGUCUCAUAUAGUCUUCCUCUGUAGUCGUCACCGAGCACCAAUCUCACAAUUCAGCAAAGAGACAAUGAUGGUCGAUCAAGCCUUGUGCUUGCGAGUUUGACAAGGCAGCAAUGGCGCACAUCAAGAAAGUUCCAGUAAGAUUCUCAAAUGGCUUCCAUCACCACGAGGCCAUUGAUGGGUUUCAACAAGAGGAGCUUGUGCAGAUGGUUGAGAAGCUCAACCGAGAGAAGGUGGUUGCAGAAGCAGGAACAAGGACUAAUUACGCCAUCUGAUGAAGGGGGGUGUACGUGGCUUCAGCCUCAUCAGCUUUCUAUUCCUGCAGAUCUAUGCUGCUAUACUUCAGAUAUUCUCCCAUACAGCAAUCUGGAGGACAUCUUCACAUCUUGCUGCAAGUAUGGCUCAUAGGAUACCAAGUUGCAGUAAGUGGGAAGUAUAAUGGGAAGCAGUCUGAUAGAUCUCUAUCCGAGAGACUGCCCUGCGUUCGAGGAUGUGAAACUCCAUUUACAGGCGCAGGUGAAACGAAAAAAAUGGAGGCCUCCUUGGAUAAAACACCUUUCUUGCUGAAAGCCUGGGAUCUUCUCCAUCAAUAUCAUGGCAUACAUCGACUCAUGUAAAGCUUAGAAUUUGUACCGAGUUGAUUGAAAGUUGCUUCGCAUCAAAUCAUUAGAUGCGAUGGCAUGACAUACAUGACUUGUGUAAAGCUUAGAUUUUGGACUACGUAGGGUUGAUUGAAAGUUACUUCAUAUUACAUCGUCACAGAGGAAAUAAACUAUCGAAGUGCAUUCAAGUGUAAACCUCCAAUGGUCCGAAAAUAACUCAGUUAUGGUGGA